rnacentral:rRNA from 1 species
UCCUACGGGGGGCAGCAGUAGGGAAUCUUCCACAAUGGGCGAAAGCCUGAUGGAGCAACGCCGCGUGGGUGAAGAAGGUCUUCGGAUCGUAAAGCCCUGUUGUUAGAGAAGAAAGUGCGUGAGAGUAACUGUUCACGUUUCGACGGUAUCUAACCAGAAAGCCACGGCUAACUACGUGCCAGCAGCCGCGGUAAUACGUAGGUGGCAAGCGUUAUCCGGAUUUAUUGGGCGUAAAGGGAACGCAGGCGGUCUUUUAAGUCUGAUGUGAAAGCCUUCGGCUUGACCGGAGUAGUGCAUUGGAAACU